rnacentral:lncRNA from 1 species
GGUGGCCGCGGGCUCUGCGCGCUUGGCUGGGGAGUUAGGGCUCGUGGGUGGACACGUGGUGUGGUUGGAACAUAGAUUAUUACAGGGAACCACACAUCGCCCUAUUAUCUUUGCCACUUGUGGAAGGAACUCCGAAGUCUUCUUUCCUAACUGCGCGGACCUGGCUGCCUCCAGGUCCUCAAUGGGUCCAAAACGUUUGCCCUUCGCAGUCGUUCUGACUAGGGAAGAGCCAGAAGUCAGGUGCCAGAUGAGCGAGCAAGGUGGCCAGGAUCCGCCGGUAUAUUUUCACGAGGGAUGCCUUUCCGGCGUGGCCUCGGCAGCAGCACUAACCGCGGUUUUGAUCACACCAUGUAAAGGACGCUCAUGGCAGAGAACUUGCAGAGCUGCUUCAGAGAGUGGCAAGAACGGAGGAAGUUGUGCUCUGAUAAUAAAAGUCCAGCUGGAAUAUCACAGAAAAAUGAUUUUUAAGCUUCUAAAUUUUUGGUUAAGCCACCAUUCCAUUAAGAAGGUACACAAAGUCUAAGUGAUGCUGUGAUUCUCCAGAACAAGAUUACACCAGCUGAAGACAUCCAGGGAGGAACAAAAUCUUCAUCUGCAUAGAUCCUCCUGUUCUAGGAUUUUCACUGCUGCUGCAGCUGCCCUUUGAGUCACCUUUUACAUUUGUUACUUUCCUGAUGUAGUGAGCUCUUUCAGCCCUGAGUCAUCUGUUACAUUUGUUUCUCCUGAUGUACUGAAUAAAGGUGUGGCAAGCUCAGGGGCUUUUGUCUUUGCUGCCCAGAGCAGCACUGAUGAGGCCCAAAGCUUAGCUUCUCUAAGUCUCAUUUUUUCUAUCUUUUC